UACCCAACAUUCAAUACAAUCUGUUAUUGCCUCUACAGGUUGCUAAGACGAUUAUGCAGAUCUGAUAUAGGGAAAAACUUCAGCAACUCACCCAGAUUCUGCUAUCCCUACAAGGCUGCAUCCGAAAGACCAAAGAGCUCUUCAUGGUCAACUCUGUGAAAAGGAGACCUGGAAAAGAGUCUUCUUGUUGGGGACCCUGGCCUGAGUUGGAGAAUCCUGGGAAGGAUCUACAAUCUACAACCUGGUGUAGAGAGCUGGCAAGCCUCAGCGGGAUGGCUGUCCCCUGAGAGAUGGGAGAGGAGGAGAAACGGCCCAGCAGGGGCCUGGAGCAGCUGGCUGGCGUCAGUAAUUUCCUGUAGGAGAUUUUGCCGGCCGGGUACGCGUCACCCUGCUGUUGCCCCCCUGUCUUCUCCCAUGCGCUGCUAAAAUAAACUAAAGCGACCCUUGGGCUGUGUUCACGUAAAUGCAGUUAUUUAACCUCAUCUUUGUGGAGCCCAGGUAUAAAACAGCAUCACCUAUUUGGAAUAACAUAGGGAGGAGGUGAGACGGAAAGAUCCCUGAACAGCUGGAAUACACAUUGUAGUUUCUCUUUCCACACAGAAGAGUCUUUGGGGCCCUUGCUCAGAGACCAUUGACUCUUACUUAACACACAGCUCUAAUUAGCUUGGUAGGCUGCUUUCUGACACCCAAGCAGAUUGGAAGUGGGAAUUAAAG
rnacentral:lncRNA from 1 species